CAGCAGUGGGGAUAUUGCACAAUGGGGGAAACCCUGAUGCAGCCAUGCCGCGUGUGUGAAGAAGGCCUUCGGGUUGUAAAGCACUUUCAGUAGGGAGGAAAGGGUGUAGUUUAAUACGCUAUAUCUGUGACGUUACCUACAGAAGAAGGACCGGCUAACUCCGUGCCAGCAGCCGCGGUAAUACGGAGGGUCCGAGCGUUAAUCGGAAUUACUGGGCGUAAAGCGUGCGCAGGCGGUUUGUUAAGCGAGAUGUGAAAGCCCUGGGCUCAACCUAGGAAUAGCAUUUCGAACUGGCGAACUAGAGUCUUGUAGAGGGGGGUAGAAUUCCAGGUGUAGCGGUGAAAUGCGUAGAGAUCUGGAGGAAUACCGGUGGCGAAGGCGGCCCCCUGGACAAAGACUGACGCUCAUGCACGAAAGCGUGGGGAGCAAACAGGAUUAGAUACCCUGGUAGUCCACGCCGUAAACGAUGUCUACUCGGAGUUUGGUGUCUUGAACACUGGGCUCUCAAGCUAACGCAUUAAGUAGACCGCCUGGGGAGUACGGCCGCAAGGUUAAAACUCAAAUGAAUUGACGGGGCCCC
rnacentral:rRNA from 1 species